rnacentral:tRNA from 1 species
GCCUCUCAAGCGUAGGCAGCGACGCACCCGUCUCGUAAGCGGGAGAGGCCGGCGCGAGUCCGGCGAGAGGCA